rnacentral:lncRNA from 1 species
UGCAACAAACAGUCUAGUUAUAAAAUGUUAAAGUGCAAUAAAGUGAAGGAGCAAUUUGAUACAUAACAAUAAUAGCUUAUAUCAUCAAUUUUGCAGAUUACAUACAUCGUAGAUCCACACAUUAAAGAAACUAAUUAAAAUACAGAAAACUUUCAAACUCCUAAACAAGCACCAAAGAAACUAAUGAAAGCAGCCCCCGCCACAAAGACUCCCAUCCUGAAACACAAAAAUGUCAUCAAUGUCAACUAAAAGAUGGAAACAAAAUUGCAAUAAGAAAAACAAUCAAACAAAGACUUACAAUCAUCGUUAAUGUCAACGUCCUCCUCAUCGUACACUCCAACAAGUUUUGGACAAAUGGGCAAAUUUAAAAUCCUUUCACUAUGAUAGUUCAAUGUUUUACAUUGAAAGCUCACAAGCUUUACUGUGAAAACUCUUGAUUAUACUGUUUUAAUAUGAUAUUCAUAAUCAUAAUUAUAAAGAAUCAACCAGAAGACAUGUUUGCUAUUAAAUUGAAACCUAAAGACAGAACCCAAAAAUCACAUUUUACUGCCAAAUAAUCCAAUACCAUUUUAUAAAAAUUUAAAAUCCUUUCACUAUGUUAGUUCACAGAUUUACAUAGAAAGCUCACAAGUUUACUGUGAAAACUCGAAAUUAUACUAUAUUAAUAUGAUAUUCAUAAUCAUAAUUACACUACAAAAAUUGCAAAUUCAAUUUAACACAUGAAAGGCCACCCAUAUAUCAUCACAGAAAGAUCUACACAAUUUGGCAAUUCUUAGACAGAACCCAAAAAUCAAAAUUUACUGCCAAACCCUAGAUUUCAUUCAUUUGGUUCAAAUUCUAGUAAUAGAAAAUACCUUGGGAUACUCCUAAAUCGCGAAUGUUCUUGGGAGACAAAAACCACGAGAUUCAGGGAGACUCCUAUGAGUUUUCGGCCGGAGACCGUUUAUCUCACAGCUAUUUUCGGCGACUUGUGAAAGCGAGUCGAGAUUCUUGGGCAAAAGAGGGACAGAAACCACGAAAGGGAAAUCAGCCGGUAUCCUCAAGAUUGUUGUGAAAGGGAAAGAGAGGGAUAGAGACCACGCUACCAGAGCUUCGCGAGUCCGGAUUGUUGUGAAAGGGAAAUCGCGAUUUAGGAGAAAGAGAGGAAAAAGAGAGGCCAGACCUUUUUGACCCG